AAACCAAUUGCCAAAGAAAAUGUUUUAUUUUUGGUGGACACCUUAGUUUCCAACAAUAUGCCUUUAGAACAUCAACUGUAGGUCCAAGUAAUACUGGUGAUCUUUCCCUAUCCGGAUAAAUCCUCUCCACUUGAUAUCCUGAUUUAACCGUAAAUUUCCCAUUAUUUGUGAAAUGCCAUCCUUCCUUAUCAACCAUCUGGUUUCUACUCA
rnacentral:lncRNA from 1 species